CGGAGGUGCCGUUCCGCCAUUCCGUGCGCACGGUUAGGUUGGCUGUGUUGUUCGCACCGCCAACCGAAGUUCGUGAAAAUUUGUGCAGUGCGCCUUGCCAGACUGUUUUCAGAGUUCAUGUGGUUUGUUCGUUGUGCGUUUGUGUGCAGUGUAAGGGUGUGCAAAAUGGACUCACUGGCAAGCGACGACUUGUUAAAUGACGAAGUACGUCAGCGACCCGUGCUUUUUGACCAGCGUCUGAAAGCGUACAGGUCAAACAACGUCAGCAAGACGCAUGGGAGCAGGUAUCCACAGUGCUGGGACAAAGCGUGCCUGACAUUCAACACAGAUGGCAGAGCCUCCGACAGAAGUUCCUUCGGCUGCGGAAGACAUACGUGAAGUCUGGAAGCAGCUCUGACGCCGUAAAGAAGUGGGCCCUCUUUGACAACCUGACAUUUCUCAACGACGCAAUCCAGGGCAGAAGCACUGUGUCCAACAUGGAAGGAGGACCCAGCCAUGUGGCACCGGAAGUACGACAUCCGUGUACGUUGACUCCAAGCAGUGAUUCGAGCACGUCGGCAGAGGCACUGUUUCAUUCAUUGUAUAUGCACAGCAGCGAAGACACCAGUCUA